rnacentral:rRNA from 1 species
AGGGUUUGAUCAUGGCUCAGAUUGAACGCUGGCGGCAGGCUUAACACAUGCAAGUCGAGCGGUAACAGAGAGUAGCUUGCUACUUUGCUGACGAGCGGCGGACGGGUGAGUAAUGCUUGGGAAUAUGCCUUAUGGUGGGGGACAACAGUUGGAAACGACUGCUAAUACCGCAUAACGUCUACGGACCAAAGGGGGGGAUCUUCGGACCUCUCGCCAUUUGAUUAGCCCAAGUGAGAUUAGCUAGUUGGUGAGGUAAAGGCUCACCAAGGCGACGAUCUCUAGCUGGUUUGAGAGGAUGAUCAGCCACACUGGGACUGAGACACGGCCCAGACUCCUACGGGAGGCAGCAGUGGGGAAUAUUGCACAAUGGGCGCAAGCCUGAUGCAGCCAUGCCGCGUGUGUGAAGAAGGCCUUCGGGUUGUAAAGCACUUUCAGUUGUGAGGAAAGGAGUGUAGUUAAUAGCUGCAUUCUGUGACGUUAACAACAGAAGAAGCACCGGCUAACUUCGUGCCAGCAGCCGCGGUAAUACGAGGGGUGCAAGCGUUAAUCGGAAUUACUGGGCGUAAAGCGUUCGUAGGCGGUCUAUUAAGCAAGAUGUGAAAGCCCAGGGCUCAACCUUGGAACUGCAUUUUGAACUGGUAGACUAGAGUACUGUAGAGGGUGGUGGAAUUUCCAGUGUAGCGGUGAA